rnacentral:rRNA from 1 species
AACGUAGGAGACAAACGUUAUCCGGAGUUACUGGGCGUAAAGGGCGUGUCGGUGGUAGUGUAAGUCUGGCGUGCAAUUUUUCGGCUUAACCGGGAAAGGUCGUCGGAUACUGCACAACUAGAGGACGGUAGAGGCGUGUGGAAUUCCGGGGGUAGUGGGGAAAUGCGUAGAGAUCCGGGGGAACACCAGUGGCGAAGGCGACACGCUGGGCCGUACCUGACACUGAUGCGCGACAGCAUGGGGAGCAAACAGG